CGCCUUAUACUCCUACGGGAGGCAGCAGUCGGGAAUUUUGCGCAAUGGAGGAAACUCUGACGCAGUGACGCCGCGUAUAGGAAGAAGGUUUUCGGAUUGUAAACUAUUUUAGUCAGGGAAGAAAAAUGACAGUACCUGAAGAAUAAGCUCCGGCUAACUACGUGCCAGCAGCCGCGGUAAUACGUAGGGAGCAAGCGUUAUCCGGAUUUAUUGGGUGUAAAGGGUGCGUAGACGGGAAGACAAGUUGGUUGUGAAAGCCCUCGGCUCAACUGAGGAACUGCAACCAAAACUAUCAUUCUUGAGUGCGGGAGAGGAAAGUGGAAUUCCUAGUGUAGCGGUGAAAUGCGUAGAUAUUAGGAGGAACACCAGUGGCGAAGGCGACUUUCUGGACCGUAACUGACGUUGAGGCACGAAAGUGUGGGGAGCAAACAGGAUUAGAAACCCCGGUAGUCCACGUACCA
rnacentral:rRNA from 1 species